UGGGGAAUAUUGCACAAUGGGCGCAAGCCUGAUGCAGCCAUGCCGCGUGUGUGAAGAAGGCCUCGGGUUGUAAAGCACUUUCAGCGAGGAGGAAGGUGGUGAGCUUAAUACGCUCAUCAAUUGACGUUACUCGCAGAAGAAGCACCGGCUAACUCCGUGCCAGCAGCCGCGGUAAUACGGAGGGUGCAAGCGUUAAUCGGAAUUACUGGGCGUAAAGCGCACGCAGGCGGUUUGUUAAGUCAGAUGUGAAAAUCCCCGGGCUCAACCUGGGAACUGCAUUUGAAACUGGCAAGCUAGAGUCUCGUAGAGGGGGUAGAAUUCCAGGUGUAGCGGUGAAAUGCGUAGAGAUCUGGAGGAAUACCGGUGGCGAAGGCGGCCCCCUGGACGAAGACUGACGCUCAGGUGCGAAAGCGUGGGGAGCAAAACAGGAUUAGAUACCCUGGUAGUCCACGCUGUAAACGAUGUCGAUUUUGGAGGUUGUGCCCUUGAGGCGUGGCUUCCGGAGCUAACGCGUUAAAGUCGACCGCCUGGGGGA
rnacentral:rRNA from 1 species